rnacentral:rRNA from 1 species
CCGCCCGUCACAUCACGAAAGCGGACUGUACUAGAAGUCGCUGCGCUAACCCGCAAGGGAGGCAGGCGCUCAAGGUAUGGUUCGUGAUUGGGGUG